ACACAUGCAAGUCGAACGGCAGCACGGGAGCAAUCCUGGUGGCGAGUGGCGAACGGGUGAGUAAUACAUCGGAACGUGCCCAAUCGUGGGGGAUAACGCAGCGAAAGCUGUGCUAAUACCGCAUGAGAUCUACGGAUGAAAGCAGGGGACCGCAAGGCCUUGCGCGAAUGGAGCGGCCGAUGGCAGAUUAGGUAGUUGGUGAGGUAAAGGCUCACCAAGCCUGCGAUCUGUAGCUGGUCUGAGAGGACGACCAGCCACACUGGGACUGAGACACGGCCCAGACUCCUACGGGAGGCAGCAGUGGGGAAUUUUGGACAAUGGGCGCAAGCCUGAUCCAGCCAUGCCGCGUGCAGGAUGAGGGCCUUCGGGUUGUAAACUGCUUUUGUACGGAACGAAAAGGCUUUCUCUAAUAAAGAGGGCUCAUGACGGUACCGUAAGAAUAAGCACCGGCUAACUACGUGCCAGCAGCCGCGGUAAUACGUAGGGUGCAAGCGUUAAUCGGAAUUACUGGGCGUAAAGCGUGCGCAGGCGGUGAUGUAAGACAGUUGUGAAAUCCCCGGGCUCAACCUGGGAACUGCAUCUGUGACUGCAUCGCUGGAGUGCGGCAGAGGGGGAUGGAAUUCCGCGUGUAGCAGUGAAAUGCGUAGAUAUGCGGAGGAACACCGAUGGCGAAGGCAAUCCCCUGGGCCUGCACUGACGCUCAUGCACGAAAGCGUGGGGAGCAAACAGGAUUAGAUACCCUGGUAGUCCACGCCCUAAACGAUGUCAACUGGUUGUUGGGUCUUCACUGACUCAGUAACGAAGCUAACGCGUGAAGUUGACCGCCUGGGAGUAC
rnacentral:rRNA from 1 species